ensembl:lncRNA
GGCACAUCCUAGUACAUCCUUGGUGACAGAGUGCAUUUUCAUCAGAGCAACUAAAAAGCCCUGUGAGAAUCAGCUCAGAAGAAGGAAUGUACAGAGGGUCACGAUAAGUAGCACAUCUCAUCAGACCUGAUGCCCGGGGAUGUUAAAGUGCUUUUUAAAAUGAGGACUAAUAAGGCUACUCAGCUUUUACUGUUUUCUAAGAGCCUCAACUAAAUUAAUCAUGGCACAGAAUAACCCUUCCUGUAAGGUGAUUACACAUCCUUUGGUUGUGGGGAAGCCUGGGCUAUCACAGAGAGAAGAAGCUGAGUGAAUUAUUUAAAAAGUAUGCAGCAAAGGCCUGUGAAUCGUCGGGGAGGUGGGAUGGCGUCUCUCCCUCAUUCGGGGGCCUCUCCGAGGAAUAGCAGAAGGGACCCCAGAAGGCUUGUUGGACACCAGUUUAAUUCGGAAAAUAGAGCAGCACUUCACCUCGCGUGUGCUGGGUGGGGAAUUGUAAAAGAGGACACAGUCAAAAUAGUCAUUAAGGCCAAACCAGAGUCAGCCCAAAGCCAGGCCUGCAUUCCCAGGAACCUGCUGGGCCGUGGUAUUUGCAUACAUCAGUCUCCAGCCUCCAUUGUCUCCCACAGGAAGAACUUGUUCCAUUCCAUUAAGAACGCCUGAAUAUUUUAUUGGCUAAAAACUAGGGGCCUAGGCUGGAUGGUAAACAAGUUUGGAGUGCUGUUUUUGAGUUGUGUUUAUGUUUUAUACAUGGAACAGUUUUAAGUAUUUUUUUGUUAAAUUCAAAACACUCCAGAAAUUCUGCAACUUAAGGCGACAACCACUGCAAAAGUUCCAGGGCAACAUUUGGACACUUUCAAGAUUACUUCAGGGACUUGAAUGCUGAGAAACAAGAAGGGACAACUUUUAUUAAGAAAAACAUUUUAGUAGCUGAAUACAGAAAUCAAAACCAAGAGUAGGCGUUCCAAAUUCAUAUUGUGAAGCGCCUACAAAAAGAUUCUUCUGUCAGCUUUCACAGUGUGGAGAGUUCAUCUUUUCAUCUCAUCAAGUGAAAAUAUGCCCCAAUUCCCGACCGGAAUGUGGACUCUGCUUUCAGCAAUGAGCAUCAGACAUGACAAGCCCUGAUUUUGUUCAGUUAUCAGCCCUUCACCUGUCAAGCCAGUGCCUCAGGAAGCUUGAUCCCACCUCCAGCCCAGUAAGUGGACCUGAUUGGUCAAAGGCAUGGCCUAUCCGUCUGGCCAGGGAUCGGUUCAGGAAUAGACUUGAGACCAGAUUCAGGAAUGAAUAUGAGGGACAUUCUUCUUCUUCCUGCAUGUGAUCCCUUGAACUGCUGCUACCACCUUGCCACCUGCCUAAGGAGGAAGGUCAAUGCUGAGGAAUCGGAGCAAAGAGAUAGGAAGAACAUGAGUCUAUGGCAUUGUUGUGCUUUGCUGUCUCUGGACUUCUUUUACGGAAGAAUUCAUCAUCUCAACUGCCCCGAGUCUACGAGAUAUGUCCACAGACGAGCUGACUGCCUACACCAUAGUCCACACCGUCGGUAGCGUUAGCUCCACUGAGACAGAUGUGUUUCCAAAACGCACAGAGGGAUUUGCUGGCCUGAGCAUAGCAAGAGUGUGAUAACUGAAAAAAAAAAAAAAAACAUAAAGUGGGAUCAUGCCCACCCAUCCCUCUGGUUAGACUGCGUGUUUUGUGCAGAAAACUAUGUUUGGGUAGCUCCUCCUCGGGGUAAAGAAAGAAAGAGCUCUGCGCCUGAAGAAACCCCGGACCUGGUAUGCUGGGAGGAAGGUCUGCUCUUCCAGGGUGAAGCCAUUCAUGACAGACCCAGGGAUGUGCGUACUUUGUUUAGCAAGGUGCUCAAGGUUUGGCACCUGUCAGUAGUUUCUAUGGCUCAGCAUUCUUGAAUCGAC